rnacentral:rRNA from 1 species
AAUUUUUAAUCAUUUUAUUAAAAUUAAUAAAAUUAUAUUUAAAUCCUUUUUCAAUUAAAUAAUUUCAAUUUAAUAUUCAUUUAAAUAAAUUUAUUGUAAUUCAUUUAUUCUAAAUUAUUAGUUACAUCUUGAUUUGAUUUAAUUUUUUAUUUUAAAUUUUUAAAUAUUAUAAAUUUAUAAAAAAUAUUUUUUUAACAAUGAUAUAUAAAUUUAUAAAUUAAGUAAAUUAAUUCGUGGAUUAUCAAUUAUUAAACAAAUUCCUCUAAAUAAAAUAAAAUACUGCCAAAUUAUUUAAGUUUCAUAUAAUAAUAUUAAUUACUAUUUUAAUAUUAAACUAUUUAAUUUAUAUAAUAGGGUA